UUAUAAAGCAGCAAUCCUCAUGAAUAGCAAUGCUGGUAUCCAUAUGACUUCUGAUUGAAAAGCAAACCUAUUGACUUUUAUGGCAAUUACUACUGUGAUUUAUUAAUGUGAGAAAAUGCCAAAUUAACAUUAUCAUGCGAAACACCAUUAUGAAAUUUCAGCCAUUUUCCCCCUCUGCAGCUAAUUCCAAAAGAUGUUCAGUAACUAUCCUGUAAUUCUAUUCAAGUUAAACAAAGACUGGAAAUCAGCCAAAUUGGCAUUAGGUUCAUCCCUAUUAGAUUACAUGAGCAUAAUCCAAAAGUAUCACCUCAAAGUGUAAAAAUCAAUAUUUGUGACAUGACUCUUUUAAAAAUGCAAAAUUG
rnacentral:misc_RNA from 1 species